rnacentral:rRNA from 1 species
UACCAGCACCCCGAGUGGUCGGGACGGUUAUUGGGCCUAAAGCGUCCGUAGCCGGUUCUACAAGUCUUCCGUUAAAUCCAACUGCUUAACAGGUGGGCUGCGGAAGAUACUAUAGAGCUAGGAGGCGGGAGAGGCAAGCGGUACUCGAUGGGUAGGGGUAAAAUCCGUUGAUCCAUUGAAGACCACCAGUGGCGAAGGCGGCUUGCCAGAACGCGCUCGACGGUGAGGGAUGAAAGGUGGGGGAGCAAACCGG